rnacentral:misc_RNA from 1 species
GAUGAAGAACGCAGCGAAAUGCGAUAAGUAAUGUGAAUUGCAGAAUUCAGUGAAUCAUCGAAUCUUUGAACGCACAUUGCGCCCGCAAGUAUUCUGGCGGGCAUGCCUGUUCGAGCGUCAUUUCAACCCUCAGGGCCCUUUUGGACCUGGCGUUGGGGCUCGGCCGCUACCCUGCGGCCGUCCCCGAAAGAUAGUGGCGGUCUCGCUGUAGCCUCCUCUGCGUAGUAGUUACAUCUCGCACUGGAACGCGGCGCGGCCAUGCCGUUAAACACCCCACUUCUCAAGGUUGACCUCGGAUCAGGUAGGAAUACCCGCUGAACUUAAGCAUAUCAAUAAGCGGAGGA